AUGUACAAUUGCAAAUGACAAUCGUGCUCCAAUGGCGAUGGCCGCGUAAGCGACCGGAACUAUUGAAAACUUAAGCCCUAACGCUUUGCAGCUUUAGGCGGGGUUCGAAGGCACCUGGCAACAGAAGCCUUCACU
rnacentral:tmRNA from 1 species